CGAACGGUAACAGAGAAUAGCUUGCUAUUUUGCUGACGAGUGGCGGACGGGUGAGUAAUGCUUGGGAAUAUGCCUUAUGGUGGGGGACAACAGUUGGAAACGACUGCUAAUACCGCAUAAUAUCUCCGGAUCAAAGUGGGGGACCUUCGGGCCUCACGCCAUGAGAGUAGCCCAAGUGGGAUUAGCUAGUUGGUAAGGUAAUGGCUUACCAAGGCGACGAUCCCUAGCUGGUCUUAGAGGAUGACCAGCCACACUGGAACUGAGACACGGUCCAGACUCCUACGGGAGGCAGCAGUGGGGAAUAUUGCACAAUGGAGGAAACUCUGAUGCAGCCAUGCCGCGUGUGUGAAGAAGGCUUUCGGGUUGUAAAGCACUUUCAGCGAGGAGGAAAGGGUGUUAUUUAAUAGAUAACAUCUGUGACGUUACUCGCAGAAGAAGCACCGGCUAACUCCGUGCCAGCAGCCGCGGUAAUACGGAGGGUGCGAGCGUUAAUCGGAAUUACUGGGCGUAAAGCGCGCGUAGGCGGUUAAUUAAGUCAGAUGUGAAAUCCCAGGGCUCAACCUUGGAACUGCAUUUGAAACUGGUUAACUAGAGUUUUGUAGAGGGUGGUAGAAUUUCAGGUGUAGCGGUGAAAUGCGUAGAGAUCUGAAGGAAUACCAGUGGCGAAGGCGGCCACCUGGACAAAGACUGACGCUGAGGCGCGAAGGCGUGGGGAGCAAACGGGAUUAGAUACCCCGGUAGUCCACGCAGUAAACGAUGUCUAUUAGAAUUUUGUGGCUAUAUGCCGUGGGAUUCAAAGCUAACGCAUUAAAUAGACCGCCUGGGGAGUACGGCCGCAAGGUUAAAACUCAAAUGAAUUGACGGGGGCCCGCACAAGCGGUGGAGCAUGUGGUUUAAUUCGAUGCAACGCGAA
rnacentral:rRNA from 1 species